GGAAUCUGCCUUAAUAUUUGGAUAGGUCAGUCCCAAAUCACAGUAAGAUUUCAGAGGCCCCUGCCUGCUCAGAACCUGGCACAAGAAGGGGAAAUGUGUAGGGUAAGAGGGGAUGCUGGGUCCCCUCCCUCCUCCACUCAAGGCUGGACACCUUACAUCACAUGCUUUCAUAUGAAAUGGCUGUUUGGUUUUUACAGAAAAGGCUCGCGAGACAAAAUCUAGAAUAUGCAAAUUGUAUGCAGACACACUAUAUAAAAUACAUAUACAUACAUACACACACAUAUACAUAUAUAUACUUUAACAUAUCUACUUUGAUACACACGCAGUCAUGUGGGGGGCAAUUUAGGUCUCAGAAACAUCGCCAUCAUUUCAAGUUUGUCUUUGCUUGAGGAAUGAAUAAGAUUAUAAUCCUUAAAGAAAAGAAAGAUACCAAAUGUUUUCUGGAUGCAGUGCAAUGAGGUAAAGCCAUCCAGCAUCCAGAAGGGCUCAACCAAUUUACAGGCCUAAGGAGGUGCCAGGCAUUUUUAAAGACACAGUCUUCAAUUGGCGCUGAAGUAGGUGUGGUGGUGAAGAGGACUGUAGUAUAAGCCCAAGUAAAUUAGGAUUUCGACAUUUGUUUGCGGCUCAUAAAACCAAAGGAUUGUGAUCAACUGCAUUGGUAGGUCCUCCCUAGGGUUCCCAGAAGAAAGGGUGUUUGACUGGAAGGUUAUGUGUGUUGCCUGUGUGCUCAGGCCCCUUCUGCAGCCCCUAGAGCCCCCUAGAAACUAUAGCUCUGCCUUCCCUGGUGCAGAAAUGGCUAUAGAGGUCCCAGGAGCCUUAAAAACAAAGCCCUUGAAGCUCCCCAAGUGCAGCGAAUUCAGGUUCUUCAGGUCAGGGCCGCCCCGACGGCCCAAGCGAGGUGCUCCUGGGGCCAGUAGGUGUCGCUGUUUCCCUGCUGGCAGAAGCCUGGAGCCCGACGUUGGCCCCUAGCACCACUCAGUUUUCUGCCCCGGGUGCUUUCCCAGACUCCUCUGAGCUCUAGGGUUGUGGCCGCUCCCAAAUUGUGUUUCCCCCUAAACCCUACCCUGGCUCACCUGGCCAAGGCCGCAGCGACAGUGGUUGGCCUAAGGGAAAAUCUAUGGAGAGAAAAAGGAGAGGCGAAUUUGGAGGGGCCAAAAGGCAGCCCCUACGGAAUAGGCUAAAAACCUGCUUCAUCUGCCACCCGUGCUCCUUUCUCCUCACAGACCGAGGGUGGCAAGGGUCUAUGGGGAGCACCCUGGUAAAACCCCAAAUUUGAAGAAUUCAGACACGGUUUUACUUUGCCUGAAAAUAACAAGAGGUUCAAAACUAGCUUCGCGGGACUUAGUCACAGAAAGAGUUUUCAUGUCCUUGUCUCAAAAGACAAGGAAGGAGGUGUGUGGGGCCGCGCAGAACGCUAGGCCUGGACCACGAGCUGCCUAUGUUUUUGCCCACAUGCCUGUGCGCAGUGUCGGGUGAAGACACUGGCCAACCUUUGCUCUGGCCCUGAAAGGAAGAUCUGAAGUACCCUAGUCUCCCCCACCGCCCUCCCUAAAGCAUUGCUUACUGAGCAUUAAUAUCCGUUGGAUAGGGCUAGCCCAUCUUUGCAAUCUGUAUUAAAAUUCUAGGUAUUGAGAAUUCUGCUCCUUUAUUUGGCGUCCUGCGGGCCCCUGGCUCUGGCUCAGUAUACCAUAAGCGUUCUUUUUGUGUCGGGGGAGGGGGCAUUUGGCUUGCAGAUUCCAAGAGAAACACUUAACAAUGGUUACAUCCUAUAGAUGGCUGGAGAUUUUAUUACGAUCCGGGUUUCUUUGCAUAGGGACCCCACUUCUCUGGAGGAGAAGGUAGCUGGGGGAGCCGGUAUGAAACACCCUACAUUCAGUCUUGGGCAGUCGCAAGAGGUGCUGGGGAGGUGGAAUUAGCUUUGUAUUGAAUGCGAGUCUAAAAAUAAUAUCUGCGGUCAAGAGUUGGCUGUAAUUUUGUAGAGACCCUUACUGCUGGGUUUUGUGUAAAAGUAAAACACUCGCAAAGUGGAAAACCAUAGCAAAUAUAAAACUAGAAGGCAGGGGGAAACUUCUCACUUAAAGUGCCAAGUAUAUUGGGAUAAUUUUCUGUAAUGUCUAGGCUGAGGCAUUUCCCUCUCAGGACCGGCAGCGCAAGAGGCUGCCUAUUCAAAGAGAGGCUGACUUUUUAGCCAGAGUUGGCAAAUAUCUUCAUUAAAUGUCACGCCCUUUGCUGUUUCAUAAAAUUGACUCCUUCCUUUAAAGUCUUCUAUCUGCUAUACAAUUUUAAAUAAUCAUUUCUGGUCGAGACAGCAGAUUUAUCUCUGGGGGUGGGGUAGGACGAACACGUGUCUAAUUGUAGGUUGUGAAGUUCAGUGAGGUGGUAUUUUUAGCUUCUAAUGCUCAAAUUCAUAUAUUUGGAUGUUUCUUCCCGCCUCACCCUUUCUGUUUUCCCCCUGAUCCACUCAACCCUUUCUCUCAUUUUCCGCUCUUUUUUUUUUUUUUUUUUGCCUCUGUCUUCCUUCUCCUCUCUACAGCGCCUCUCGCCCUUCCCUUUCAGUCUUCUCUUUCUCGUCCCUUUUCUUUCUCUUUCCCGCUCGCCCCCUUUCUUGUAUAAUUUAUUGUCUGAUUCUAUCAGUCAAGUUAAUAUGAAACUAGCAAGAGGGAGGCCCACCAGCCUUAUCUGGCCCUCUCCCCGGAGCGCUUAUGCGACUUUAGGGAGCUGUCGGUCGCUGUCGGGUUAUGGAUCACGUGGCUGGUCCUAGGUGCAGAGCACUCUGCUGGUGAAAGAGUUGGGGUCCGGGGCUUAUUCAAAUACCGCCCGCUGCUGCUGUGAUUCGCAGGGACUCGGCCUCCAUAUGACGCCUAAAGGAGCCUGUUCGUGUGCUGUUCCACGUUCUGCUGUGACUGGAUCUUGUCUUCUACCCGGAGCUUCGAUUUCGGUUCGGCUGGAUUUGGGGGACAACACUGCCUGGCGCAGGGACAUCAAAUGACACUUCAAAGAAGCAUAAAAUGAAUAGACUAUUCAAUCAAACAAAGACCGGGGGCGGCAGUACUCCGCAAGACAGCAUCUUCUCCCCAGCCUAGAAGUCCUGAGAAAUCGAGGAUCUCCCCCUAAAACAUUCACAUACAAGAUAUGGGCAAUCAAGCUGCCAGCACUUGGUAAAAAGCUCAUGACGAUCCGGCGCAGAUUUUUGAAUCAGCUGUCACUUCUAUAGAAUGGGAUUUUCCCUCUCUUCCUCUCUAACCAGCUCUGGAAACUGCCAAGGCUUUAAACGUCUCAGUAGAGGAAGGCUAAAGAAUCUUAACGUGAGAACGAAGCAAUUUACAAUGCAAAUAGAGGCCGGUGAAGGGACGGACGCUGCAGCUCAGAGGAACAGCUUGCUGCACCUUAGUCGCUGGUUCUCAUUUUCUGAUAUUAAUAGAUGAAUUGUUGGCUAACGCUGCUGGAGAUUACUUCCUGGAAGGGGAAAAAAGUUUGGAAUAAACUCUGAACGCAACAGAUCUUAUUUGGAUGUUUUAGCCGCACUCACUCAGACAGAAACCAGGUCAUGUUUGCAUGAAAAGAGGAAUUCUUAAACUCGGCAAAUAUCCUGGAGGACUACACUUGUGUAGAUCCCAGAGUGGAGCCGGAUCUGGAGUGCAGCCAGAGGAAGACUUCCUGUGAGGGAAGCGAGUUGUUAUCUUUGGUUAUCUAGCUGUAUGAGUGUAUUGGUCUUCAUAAAGCUAGAUAACCGAAAGUAAAAACUCCUUCAAGAUCACCGAGGAGCGGCCCAGAAUGAAAGCCUACAUCCAAGAGACAGUAAAGGCCAGAAAGGUCAGGAAUGCUUAUUGAAUCUAACUUUUUUUCUUAUGAUUAACAGUGGGAUGCAAGGGAAUUUAGUGACACACAUAAUGACAUCUAAAGGGGCCAGGUUUUGAGAGGGGCUGUACAACUGGAGAGGAGAAUUGUGUGGCUUUUAUGGGUGAAGAUGCAUGGACUGCCUAUAUUGUUCUAUUUUGGAGCAAACGUUUGCAUAUGAGAAAUGUUUUUCUUAGAAAGCUGUUUUAGUGAUGCCUGAUACCUCGUUUAAAAAUGAUUCCAUAAUUAUGUAGAUUUGGGCAGUUCCCUUCUGAGGUCCCUCCCUCAAGUUUGAAGCUUGUGCUUGGAAACUUUCUCUGUAUUUGGAGGCUGUACAUUAAAUUCUAUGAAGUUAGACUUUCAGUAAAGCUUAUUUUGGAAGGUUAAUAAUUUAUAUCUCCCGAGGACUUAGAGCUAGCAGGGAAAAUGGGGGGGGGCGUCUGAUUUUUAUUCUUCUAUUCAAAAUACAAGGACAGAUGCUUCUCUGUUCCAAGAGGGUUUCCUUGAGGAAGUUACUGAAGCAGAAAGACAUGAUGGAGACGAGAUCGCCUCCCCUCUUGUCAAAGUGUUAAAAAAAUGUUCUGUCUUACUCUGUGCCUAGCAUUGGAAAUGAAAGUGACAUUUACGCCACAACCCACGUGUGCGCCUCCUCUCUUUUUGUUUAAGGAUGAUCAGGUCUAUCCAGGAAACAGCUCUGGCAUCCCAAACUGAAAUAAUUAGGACGUAUAUAGACCUGACAAAAAUGGAAAGGGGGUGGGGAACCCGAGGGUCUGUCUUGCCUAAUUGAUUCCGCUGAACGGAAAGCGGGAGAUGUGAACCGCAGGACGCUCCGAUUCCCACGCUCGGGGGCAAGUGGUGAAGCCUGGCCCGCAGCCUAUGACAGACAGCCCUGUUGGGGGGCAGGGGCAUGAAAAAAACCAUCAAGCACACACACCAUACUCAUCUCCAUCGCUUAAGAAAGUAAAGGCUUUUCCCACCCACAGCCAUCUGCAGCCUCCCAAAUGGCAACACCAACUGGUUGGUAGCUACCGCGUACUGUUUCUGUUAAUUUUUAAGCCACUGUUUAACCUGGCCAUCAUUAAAUUUGGCUUUCUUCUUUGGUUGAAAAUUUCAUUAUUUAAGGAAAGCAAGUGGAAAGGGAUGUCAAGGGCAUCCCUCCGAGAAACUCUCAGCCGAAGGGUAGGGCUUUUUGAUCACCUUUUGGCUUUUGUUUUGGCUGUGCUAUAUUUUAAAGUCGUGCGUGGUAACACUCAUUCCAGCUUAGUUCAUAGGGCUGUUUACUUCUUUAUGUGACACAGGAACUUGGCCUACUUAUGCUAAUCUGCAUUCUGGAAAUAAAGCUAUAAAGUCAUCAGUAGAAAGUUGGUUAAAAUCACAAUGUGUUUAAAACUUGUUUUUAGGAUAGUCUCCGCAGGAUGUGUGCUACACCUUCUUCUUUUUCUUCUUUUAUCUAAAAGUAUCUAGUCCUAGCAUAAACUUUGAGGUUUUGGAGAAAUCCAUUGUAAGGCUUUUCUGAAAUUCCUUACAUUUUGUUCCAUGCUAUCAGGCAAACAUUUGUGUGGGCAUUUGCACAUAAACACAACCAUUGCAAUAAAAAAUUGUCCAAAAUUGCCCGUUAUCUUCCACAAAGCCUAAAUUACUGACACUCCCAAAUACACAUUUUUUCUGCAGGGAUAUACAGUGCAUUUUUCUUUAUCACUUCAACUUCUUAUAAGGUUGAGACUGGGAAGGCCUGGAAAGCCACUGUUAGCUUCACAUAAAAAAUGCUGAGAGACUUUAAUAACACAAAUUCUCUAUUUGGCUGCUGAACACGUGCCAAAGUUUUACUACUGUAGUGACUGUUGAGAAGACCCGUGUUUGUUUACCUUUGAAGCACUGUUUGUGCAAACAAGCUCUCAUUGUAAAGUGCCUGUGUUUCUUUCAUUUGCCCCAAGUCCAGGGGUGCUAUUUACCUAGAACCAUUGUCUACUACAAUUAACAUUUACAUUACAAAGUGUGUGGUUUUCUUUCUCAAGGAGGUUCAAUUAAGGCAAUAAGAUGUUUGCUGGGGAAACCUAUUGUUUACUCAAAGCCCUCAAUGGAGUCAAGUUACUCAAGUUUUUGCCUACAUCUUGGUCGUUUAUGUAAAUAUGUUAACUCUAACACCUAAGGAAAAUAAACAAUAUUAAAAUUAUGUGUUUGCCAUUGUCAUAUCAAACUUGCUUUGUAUCACACUAAUGUUACAUAACUUAUCGAUCAAUAAAAAUACAUUUCAAUGUUA